rnacentral:lncRNA from 1 species
GAGAAGAAGAGAGAGGGGAUGGGUCAUAUAGACCCUCUAUUGUAACAAAAUUCCAAGAGGCCCCUCAAAAAUCCAAAAUUGCAUCAGCCCGAACUGGGCAGUUUUCGCCCAGAGGGACCGGUCUCUCCCCAACAGGGACCAGUCUCUCGCUGCGAACCAGGAAAAACCAUCGUUCGGGGACCGGUCUCUCCCUGUGCGGGACCGGUCUCUCUCUGCGAAGGCGCGCUCGGGGACCGGUCUUGCCCGCAAGGGACCGGUUGCCUCAGGGCUGCCGCAACACUGUUCACUGGGGGACCGGUCUCUCCUUCCAGGGACCGGUCCCCGAGAGUAAAAAUCUCUCAGGACUUG